CAAAGAAUAAUAUAAUUCCACAUUUUUUCUGGCUAGAAAAUUCCAUCUCCCUACUUCCAUGAGGCCUGUUGUCAUCAUUCCAAACACAGAUGAUUCUUCAAUUCCUCAGCAAACCUGUGAUAUAUAGCUUAUAUCACUGGUGUGAAACUUUAAUCAACUGUCUUGUUGUAAAGACAUUUAUGUUUCCUUUUCUUCCCUAUUAGUCUAUCAGCUACUUGAAGUCAAGAACUGUGUCUUAUAUGCCUUCAUAACUCACAGUGCUAGGUUCACCCUGAAAAUGUCACAAGAUUUAUAAAAGGAUUCAUACCACUAAAAUAUAUGAACAGAAUUACAAGAAAUUUUUCUUUUCAGGGGUAUUUUUAAAGUUCUAAAAUUAAGAUUGUGAUAAUUGUUCAAUUUUUUCAAUUUACUAAAAACCACUCAGCUGUACACUCUAAAUGGGUAAAUUUAAAGUGUGUAGGCUGUGCCAGGCGUGGUGUUUUUUAAAUACAUAUACAAGUGUAGAGUUUUAUUUUAGUAGAAUUGGCAUCAAGCUUUAUAUGAUUUGUAAAGGCAGAUUUCAAUUGAAGACUCCAAAUUAAGAGAAAAGGACUCUUCUUCCUAUUCUCUUCCCCUCCUUUCUAACAGCACUAUGAAAUGAAAGUGCUUACCAGCUUUCCACAUCUGCCAAACUAAGCCCAGCUGCUCACACCUUCAGACUAGGUAGCGGCAGCAAAUAACUCCAGAGAGA
rnacentral:lncRNA from 1 species